rnacentral:rRNA from 1 species
UACGAAGGGGGCUAGCGUUGCUCGGAAUGACUGGGCGUAAAGCGCGCGCAGGCGGCUAUCCAAGUCAGUGGUGAAAGCCCGGAGCUCAACUCCGGAACUGCCAUUGAAACUGUUUAGCUUGAGGAUGAGAGAGGUGAGUGGAAUUCCCAGUGUAGAGGUGAAAUUCGUAGAUAUUGGGAAGAACACCGGUGGCGAAGGCGGCUCACUGGCUCAUUACUGACGCUCAGGCGCGAUAGCGUGGGGAUCAAACAGG